rnacentral:lncRNA from 1 species
ACAGAUGCACCGCCCAACGGACAGACGGCCAUGCAGACAGACAGCCACAGCCCCGCUAGCAGCCCAGCCAGGGGUCCAUGCGGCUCUUGCGGGCGAGGAAGGAGAUCUUGCGUGCCAUCUCGGCGUUGUAGACACGCCGGCACGCCUCGUAGGCCAAGCGCUGCCUCUUGCGGCACGGCUUCUCGUAGUAACGCCGCUGCUUCACCGACUCAAUGAUGCCGUCCUGCGAGAGGAUCCUGCUCAGAGCCCCAUAGGCCGCAUCCACGUUGCCAUUUUGCACCAUGACGGUGCGGCCGAUGAAGCGGAGGUGAUUCGCCAUGGCCGAGGGGCUCCGCAGAGGGACGGAGCCGCCCCGGGAGCUCCCCGUGCCCCAGGAACCACCGGGAC